GGUCUACCUCGAUGAAUAUGGUGACCGAAUUAAAAAGUAAGCACGCAAUUUCAAAGAAAAAGAGGAUUGGAAAAGACUAUGGAUCAACGAGUCUUCAGGUAGUGAAUUCCCCGGG
rnacentral:ribozyme from 1 species